AACGAACGCUGGCGGCAUGCCUAACACAUGCAAGUCGAACGAGACCUUCGGGUCUAGUUGCGCACGGGUGCGUAACGCGUGGGAACCUUCCCUUAGGUUCGGAAUAACUCCCCGAAAGGGGUGCUAAUACCGGAUAAUUUCUUCGGACCAAAGAUUUAUCGCCUUUGGAUGGGCCCGCGUUGGAUUAGCUAGUUGGUAGGGUAAAAGCCUACCAAGGCGACGAUACAUAGCUGGUCUGAGAGGAUGAUGAGCCACACUGGGACUGAGACACGGCCCAGAAUCGUACGGGAGGGAGGAGAGGGGAAUAUAGGAAAAGGGGGGAAAGGCUGAAAAAGCAAUGCCGGGUGAGUGAUGAAGGGGUUAGGGUUGUAAAGCUCUGUUACACGGGAUGAUAAUGACAGUACCGGGAGAAUAAGCAACGGCUAACUCCGUG
rnacentral:rRNA from 1 species